rnacentral:lncRNA from 1 species
GUUCAUUCUGUUCCCCGCGACACUGGCCCCCCACACGGGAGAAAACCACAGUGUGCUUAAAAUUGACCGCAGGCAUCAGGACAGAGUUCACCUCCGCCAUGUGUCUUUUAUUUUGUUUUUUUUAGCAGUGCUGACUUAAUAAGCCGAAGUUUUGUAAGGUACAUAAAAUCCAAUUUAUAUGUAAACAAGCAAUAAUUUAAGUUGAGGACUUAAGUGUUUUAAUUGUGUAAUUUUUUGUGAGGUAUACAUAUUGUGGAAUCGAAUCCAAAAUGAGGUACUUCAGUGUUACAAUUAGAUAUCUUCAUAGCAGUGUCUCCUGAAAGUGUUUUGUAAAGGCUCUCAAGGCCUCGAUUAGACCUAAUUUGUAGACUUAAGACUUUUUAUUUUCUAAAUCUUGUGAUUCUGCUCAUAAGUCAUUUAUCUAUCUGAUAUGCAGCCGCUGUAGAAACCAAUUCUUGAUUUUUAUAUGUUUAUAUUCUUUCUUAACCUUAGGAAGACUACGUGUUACUAAGCAGGCCACUUUUCUGGUUGUUUUUCUUGCCCACUCUGGUAGGGGAAUAAUCUUUUCUUAAUUGGCAUCAGUUUCAGACAACUGUAAUACCAAGAAACUGGUGACCUUU